rnacentral:lncRNA from 1 species
GCUGCAAGAGCGAUCAACCACCUCCAGCAUCAACUAGGAAUUGGUUUGGAGCAGGAUAUGCCGCCAGUGGGAACUGCGACCUGGGAUACUUCUAUCUGCACCAUUCAAGACCAAAUUAUCAACCAUCAGCUUAGCGAAGAUCCACAAAACAUAUUGGUGCAACAACAGAUUCAACAGUAUGAUGCUGCGCUUUAUCCAAACAGUGGUUACACACCAGCACCUGAUCUCUUAAACCUUCUCCACUGCACUGUGGCUCCAGUGUUCCCUGCAACAGCAUCAGUCUUUGGUGAUACAGCACUAAGUGGUGAUACCAACUAUUUGGAUCUUAAUGGUGAGUUUACAGGAGUGGCAGCAAUUCCUGACAGUGGAUUAAUGUACACUAGUGAUCCAGCAUUGCAGUUAGGGUACCAUGCUGCCCAGUCUCACGCACUAAAGGAUAUCUGCCAUUCACUGCCGCAAAAUUAUGGGCUCUUCCCCAGUGAGGAUGAAAGAGAUGUCAUGCUUGGGGUUGGAAGUGUCGGAGGAGAUCUUUUUCAGGAUAUAGAUGACAGGCAAUUUGAUACUGUACUGGAGGGCAGAAGAGGAAAGGGUGAGUUCGGAAAAGGAAAAGGAAAAGCUAACUUUGCGACUGAGAGAGAGAGGAGGGAACAACUCAAUGUGAAGUAUAAGACGUUAAGAAUGCUCUUCCCCAACCCUACCAAGGUUUGUCUUGUUCAUCAUUUUGCACAUUUAGGAGAGUUAAUGAUUAUAGAUGUCCAGAAUAGUCAACUAUAGAAGCUAAUCACUAGGGUUUGUUCAAUGAUGCUACAUGUACAGAAUACUUCAUUAAUAGAAGCUAACAAUUAAAAUUUCAGGCCACUUUCCAGUUUUCGUUGGUUUUGUAAAUAUAAUUGAAUUUCUGAAUAACUUCACCCAUUUAUUCUCGGUGUGUUAAGACGCUCAGAAGUGGCAACACCAAAGUACUAUGCAGUCCAAUAAACCUGUGCUUCAUAAAACAUCAACAAAAACUCAUUCGCAAAACUGUCAUCUGUCUGAUGUAGAUUCAAAGAAACAUGUGUUAGAUAAUAUGCUUCUGCUGAACUUUCUGUCGAAUAGUUCUUCAAGCUCUGUUGCCACAUUAUAUUCAGGCUGAUACUGAUAUCCUAUGGAACAUGAUUGACAUGAAAUAGUUGCUCGUCGUGCUGCUCUUUGCAGAUACUUUUAGUGGCAUACUAUUUACCCCAUUUAUCUUGAUCGAGCGUGUUAGUACCUUCUAAUUAAUUAUGAAAGAAAAUGAAAGCAAUCAAUAUUUCAUAUGUAUAUUGAUUUUUUUUCAUAAGACAGUAUUAUUGUCCUCAUUGCACUACUCUCCAGCAAAGUAUUGACCUCUAUAGUGAUCUAACCUUAACCGAUUAAACAACACUUCCUGAUUUACUCAAUGAAAACAUAAACAAUGUGACAGAACCAUAAAAAUCUAGGUUGCACCUUUUGGGGGUACUGCUCAUAUAUGUUUGAUAUGGCACUAAUGUAUUACAGAACUGUUCUCUAGAAUGACAGGGCUUCAGUAGUAGGUGAUGCCAUUGAAUACAUAGAUGAGCUGAAUCGAACAGUGAAGGAACUGAAGAUCCUAGUGGAACAGAAGUGGCAUGGGACUAAUAGGAGAAAGAUAAGAAAGUUGGAUGAAGAGGCGGCUGCUGAUGGUGAAAGCUCAUCGAUGAGGCCAAUGAGGGAUGAGCAAGACAAUCAGCUUGAUGGGGCCAUAAGAAGCUCAUGGGUUCAGAGGAGGUCCAGGGAGUGCCAUGUUGAUGUUCGCAUAGUGGAAAAUGAAAUAAACAUCAAGCUCACAGAAAAGAAGAAGACCAACUCCUCCCUGCUUCAUGUUGCAAAGGUUCUUGAUGAAUUCCAUCUUGAGAUCAUCCAUGUAGUUGGAGGGAUUAUUGGUGAUCACUACAUAUUCAUGUUUAACACUAAGGUAUUGAUAGUAUUAUUUAUUUUAAGUAGCAUCAGGAACUCCUUUCCCGAUAUUGCUGAUUGUCAUUGACAGUAAUAUUCCAUCAUCCACAAUAAUGCAGGUGACUGAAGGUUCCUCAGUUUAUGCUUGUGCAGUGGCAAAGAGGAUCCUUCAAGCAGUGGAUGCACAACACCAGGCACUUGACAUAUUCAACUAGGCAUUAGCAACCAUAGUAACUAUUUGAAGAAGUGCCUAGUUUACUACUCUCCCUGGAGAGAGUCGUAAUUUUCUUUUCUGUUAGUUCUGUCCGUGAGGAAAGUUAUUAGACCAAUAUUGGAGAGAACUUUGCCUUUACCAUUAGCUAGCUCAGAAAAUCAAAAAAAUCUGGCAUGCCUUAACUGUUCACUGUUAUCACUUAUCUAGCUUUACUAGAAAUGAUUUGACUCUUUGCCUCAGUAUUUGUUUCCAUCAUCUUUUCAUCUCAUUUCAUUUGGAGUUGGCUUCAAAAUAUAGUAAAUCAGCGACAAUUAAUAUGGAUCGGAGGGAGUAGAAGAUGAUGAUUUACACAUGUCUGCAUGGCCUACUAUGUUCUCUUUUACAGAAAGUGGCUUAGUGCGUUGCAUUCACUGGCAUCAGUAUCACAUCUCAUAGGAUACUACUACAUGCAUAUGAAAACUUCGCAGAGAUCCAAAAUCUUUGCAGAACUUUUACAAGCUGGGCCGCUAGGUAAAUCGAGUUGCAUUGCGCGUGAUAAUUCGUGCAUAGAGGAAUAUGCCGCCCAAUAGUUGUCAAAACCAUUGUCUUAGCUACAAGAUGAGAAAAACGUACAACGGUAUGGUCUUACAUUCUUUAGUCCCAUGCCAUCACAGAGUUAGGCCACGAGCAACACACACGCAACAAUGCGAAUGUAUGACAAUCCAACGCUGCGGGGAAGGAGAGAUGGCAAUAGAUCAGCAUCCUUACCUCGCACCAAUGCCCCUGCGUCCGUGCCAAUGCAGCAGAUCUGCUCUGCUCGACUCGUGCAAUGCCCCGAACACCUCGCGAGCACCGUCCCGCCCCCGCAACGGCAAAGAGCCACAAGCGAAUUGCAGCCACGCAGGAACGGCACGAGAUGUGAUGCCGUCCGUGGCACUCUGCGCCAGACCAGAAUCAGAUCAGGGGACUGAACAUUUCCAACCUGCAAUCAUAUUCUUGCAAACAACAACAUUUUACCGGUGAGAUCUGCAGGACCCGGGCGUGCGCCCGCUGCUUGCUUAGGCAGCUCCCGCACCGUCGAUGCUGCUCGUGGAACGGCUGCUCGCGUGCAGACGUGCUAGGGCACCAGAGGCUCUCGAGCUACGGGAGGGCACGCCUGUGGUUCAGCGAGGAAGGGGAAGAGGAGGAGUGCAGGAGCACUUACCAGGUGGCAAAAGAAAA